AGACCCGAAACCCGGUGAUCUAGCCAUGGGCAGGUUGAAGGUUGGGUAACACUAACUGGAGGACCGAACCGACUAAUGUUGAAAAAUUAGCGGAUGACCUGUGGCUGGGGGUGAAAGGCCAAUCAAACCGGGAGAUAGCUGGUUCUCCCCGAAAGCUAUUUAGGUAGCGCCUCGUGAAUUCAUCUCCGGGGGUAGAGCACUGUUUCGGCUAGGGGGCCAUCCCGGCUUACCAACCCGAUGCAAACUGCGAAUACCGGAGAAUGUUAUCACGGGAGACACACGGCGGGUGCUAACGUCCGUCGUGAAGAGGGAAACAACCCAGACCGCCAGCUAAGGUCCCAAAGUCAUGGUUAAGUGGGAAACGAUGUGGGAAGGCCCAGACAGCCAGGAUGUUGGCUUAGAAGCAGCCAUCAUUUAAAGAAAGCGUAAUAGCUCACUGGUCGAGUCGGCCUGCGCGGAAGAUGUAACGGGGCUAAACCAUGCACCGAAGCUGCGGCAGCGACACUGUGUGUUGUUGGGUAGGGGAGCGUUCUGUAAGCCUGCGAAGGUGGCCUGUGAGGGUUGCUGGAGGUAUCAGAAGUGCGAAUGCUGACAUAAGUAACGAUAAAGCGGGUGAAAAGCCCGCUCGCCGGAAGACCAAGGGUUCCUGUCCAACGUUAAUCGGGGCAGGGUGAGUCGACCCCUAAGGCGAGGCCGAAAGGCGUAGUCGAUGGGAAACGGGUUAAUAUUCCCGUACUUGGUGUUACUGCGAAGGGGGGACGGAGAAGGCUAUGUUGGCCGGGCGACGGUUGUCCCGGUUUAAGCGUGUAGGUGUGUGUUCCAGGUAAAUCCGGUUCACUUUAACACUGAGGCGUGACGACGAGGCACUACGGUGCUGAAGCAACAAAUGCCCUGCUUCCAGGAAAAGCCUCUAAGCAUCAGGUAACAUCAAAUCGUACCCCAAACCGACACAGGUGGUCAGGUAGAGAAUACCAAGGCGCUUGAGAGAACUCGGGUGAAGGAACUAGGCAAAAUGGUGCCGUAACUUCGGGAGAAGGCACGCUGACACGUAGGUGAAGUGAUUUACUCAUGGAGCUGAAGUCAGUCGAAGAUACCAGCUGGCUGCAACUGUUUAUUAAAAACACAGCACUGUGCAAACACGAAAGUGGACGUAUACGGUGUGACGCCUGCCCGGUGCCGGAAGGUUAAUUGAUGGGGUCAGCGCAAGCGAAGCUCCUGAUCGAAGCCCCGGUAAACGGCGGCCGUAACUAUAACGGUCCUAAGGUAGCGAAAUUCCUUGUCGGGUAAGUUCCGACCUGCACGAAUGGCGUAAUGAUGGCCAGGCUGUCUCCACCCGAGACUCAGUGAAAUUGAACUCGCUGUGAAGAUGCAGUGUACCCGCGGCAAGACGGAAAGACCCCGUGAACCUUUACUAUAGCUUGACACUGAACAUUGAGCCUUGAUGUGUAGGAUAGGUGGGAGGCUUUGAAGUGUGGACGCCAGUCUGCAUGGAGCCGACCUUGAAAUACCACCCUUUAAUGUUUGAUGUUCUAACGUGGACCCGUUACCCGGGUUGCGGACAGUGUCUGGUGGGUAGUUUGACUGGGGCGGUCUCCUCCUAAAGAGUAACGGAGGAGCACGAAGGUUGGCUAAUCCUGGUCGGACAUCAGGAGGUUAGUGCAAUGGCAUAAGCCAGCUUGACUGCGAGCGUGACGGCGCGAGCAGGUGCGAAAGCAGGUCAUAGUGAUCCGGUGGUUCUGAAUGGAAGGGCCAUCGCUCAACGGAUAAAAGGUACUCCGGGGAUAACAGGCUGAUACCGCCCAAGAGUUCAUAUCGACGGCGGUGUUUGGCACCUCGAUGUCGGCUCAUCACAUCCUGGGGCUGAAGUAGGUCCCAAGGGUAUGGCUGUUCGCCAUUUAAAGUGGUACGCGAGCUGGGUUUAGAACGUCGUGAGACAGUUCGGUCCCUAUCUGCCGUGGGCGCUGGAGAACUGAGGGGGGCUGCUCCUAGUACGAGAGGACCGGAGUGGACGCAUCACUGGUGUUCGGGUUGUCAUGCCAAUGGCACUGCCCGGUAGCUAAAUGCGGAAGAGAUAAGUGCUGAAAGCAUCUAAGCACGAAACUUGCCCCGAGAUGAGUUCUCC
rnacentral:rRNA from 2 species